UCUGCGUUGUGAGUCUGAACCGUUGUAAUAAACUACAACCGGUAGCAUUGGAUCCCUUGGCACGUCAUUCGAUGAAGACCGUUGCAAAUUGCGAUAAAGUGAUGUGAUGCGCAAGUCCACCACUUAUACGUGAAUCAUCGAGUUGUUGAACGCAU
rnacentral:rRNA from 1 species